CUCUCUUCCCUCCUCCUGUCCUCCGCACGCCCUAGGGACCGUGGCGCCAGAUCGAGGUAAGGGCCCUGCCUCCUCCAACCGCGCGCAAGCAGGCCAAGCCGAUGCCUGCCCCUCCCUCUCUUCCCCUUCUCUCUCUAAUCUCUCUCACACGUUUUCUUCAGGGAGCCCGGCAACGAAGGUCGCCGCCUCUCCGUCUUAAUCCGUCGGCUGCUAGAUCCGACUGCGUGGCCCGCUGGUGCCCUCCAGGGACCCCCCCCCCCCGGCCGCCCCCCGCGUCGGUGAGGACAGCCAUGGAUGGGCCCCCUGGAGCUCUUCUGCCGUCGCCCGAUCUGGCCGCCCGCCCAGUAGCCGGUCCGUGCUCCGGAUCCGGCCAACAGCCUCGCCUCCGACUCGAUUCAGACGCCCACAGCCUUCCUCCGCCACCUGCGCCAUGCAUGAUGCAUGCCCCCAGCUCGCAAGGAGGCCAGGCACCUCGUCCAACUGAUGCACCGGCGGCGCGUAUCGGCGUGGGGGUGGGCCGGCGACACACAACGGCAUAUUUCUUUUUCUCUCUUGUCAGUACCACUUCGGGUUGACUUAUAAUAGUACUGCGGGUUGAAUACCCAAAACAACAGGGUUUUUUUGUAAAAAUGCCGACGACGUACGACCAGAAGCGUUCCGUGCUUUAUUAGUAGGUAGAGAUAGAGAUUUAUACUGGAUUUACUUUUUGGUUUCGUUUCAAUGGAAUGAAGACGGAGGAGACCCUGUUGGUCAGAAAAGAAA